rnacentral:rRNA from 1 species
UGAGAUGUUGGGUUAAGUCCCGCAACGAGCGCAACCCUUAUAUUUAGUUGCCAGCAUUUCGGAUGGGCACUCUAGAUAGACUGCCGGUGACAAACCGGAGGAAGGUGGGGAUGACGUCAAAUCAUCAUGCCCCUUAUGACCUGGGCUACACACGGACUACAAUGGCCGGUACAACGGGCUGCGAAAUCGCGAGAUGGAGCCAAUCCCAACAAAGCCGGUCUCAGUUCGGAUUGCAGGCUGCAACUCGCCUGCAUGAAGUCGGAAUUGCUAGUAAUCGCGGAUCAGCAUGCCGCGGUGAAUACGUUCCCG